GAACUCCGAUUGCGAAGGCAGCGUACCGGCGCCACACUGACGCUGAGGCACGAAAGCGUGGGGAUCGAACAGGAUUAGAUACCCUGGUAGUCCACGCAGUAAACGAUGAAUGCUGGUUGUCCGGGUCGAAUGAGAUCUGGGCGGCGAAGCGAAAGCGAUAAGCAUUCCACCUGGGGAGUACGCCGGCAACGGUGAAACUCAAAGGAAUUGACGGGGGCCCGCACAAGCGGAGGAACAUGUGGUUUAAUUCGAUGAUACGCGAGGAACCUUACCCGGGCUCAAACGGGAGUGGAAUGGACCAGAGACGGUUCAGCCUACGGGCCGCUUCCGAGGUGCUGCAUGGUUGUCGUCAGCUCGUGCCGUGAGGUGUCGGCUUAAGUGCCAUAACGAGCGCAACCCCCGCCGGCAGUUGCUAACGGGCAAUGCCGAGGACUCUGCCGGGACUGCCGCCGCAAGGCGAGAGGAAGGCGGGGAUGACGUCAAAUCAGCACGGCCCUUACGUCCGGGGCGACACACGUGUUACAAUGGGCGGUACAGCGGGAAGCCAGGCGGCGACGCCGAGCGGAACCCGAAAGCCGUUCUCAGUUCGGAUCGGAGUCUGCAACCCGACUCCGUGAAGCUGGAUUCGCUAGUAAUCGCGCAUCAGCCAUGGCGCGGUGAAUACGUUCCCGGGCCUUGUACACACCGCCCGUCAAGCCAUGGGAGCCGGGGGUGCUUGAAGUGCGUCGCCGCGAGGCGCGCCCUAGAGCAAAACCGGUGACUGGGGCUAAGUCGUAACAAGGUAACCGUAA
rnacentral:rRNA from 1 species